GUACACGCUGUGACUAGCAUAUCAAUAAGCGGAGGAAAAGAAACUAACAAGGAUUCCCCUAGUAACGGCGAGUGAAGCGGGAAGAGCUCAAAUUUGAAAUCUUAAAGGGUUUCCCUUUACGAAUUGUAGUUUAAAGAAGUGUUUUCUGUUGAGGUUUUGGUAAAAGUUCUUUGGAAUAGGACAUCAUAGAGGGUGAGAAUCCCGUAUUUGACCUUUACUUUCAACUUUGUGAUACACUUUCAAAGAGUCGGAUUGUUUGGGAAUGCAGUCCAAAAUGGGUGGUAAAUUUCAUCUAAAGCUAAAUAUUGGCGAGAGACCGAUAGCGAACAAGUACCGUGAGGGAAAGAUGAAAAGAACUUUGAAAAGAGAGUUAAACAGUACGUGAAAUUGUCAAAAGGGAAGCGUUUGACACCAGUGUUGUUUUUCUGAAAAUCAAUUAAAGAACUGUUUAUGCUAAGUUGUUUAGACUUUAUCAGCUAACUGUUUAGUUUUGAGCUUUUCUUUAAUGCACUUUUCAGUUAACAAGUCAACAUCAAUUUCUUUUGCUGUAAAAGAGCUUGAGGAAGGUGGCUUGAGAUUCGUCUUAAGUGUUUAUAGCCUCUUGCCUAUGCAGUCGGAGAGAUUGAGGUCUGCAGCGUAGAUCCUUCGGGGCUAAAUGCAUUUGUGCUAAGUUAUAACAUUUUAUAGACAACUUGUUGACUAUGAUUUGUCUUGUAGCUUACUCGCUUAUGUUAUUUUACCUACGCUUAGGAUGUUGACAGCAGUAUAGACUGU
rnacentral:rRNA from 1 species